rnacentral:rRNA from 1 species
GACGUAGGUGGCGAACGUUAUCCGGAAUCACUGGGCGUAAAGCGUGCGUAGGUGGAUGUUUAAGUGAGAUGUUAAAUCGUGUGGCUCAACCAUAUCGAUGCAUCUCAUACUGGGCAUCUAGAGGACAGCAGAGGCAAGUGGAAUUGGUAGUGUAGCAGUGAAAUGCGUAGAUAUUACCAGGAACACCAAUGGCGAAGGCAGCUUGCUGGGCUACUCCUGACACUGAGGUACGAAAGCGUGGGGAGCGAACAGG